GCGGGUGUGGUUCAAUGGUAGAACGAAUCCCUUCCAAGGAUUAGACGAGGGUUCGAUUCCCUUCACCCGCU
rnacentral:tRNA from 7 species